AAUUUGCCAAACCUAACAUUAGAAAACUUACAAAACCUAUACAAAAUAUCAAAUACAGUAAAAGAAAAAAAGUCACUAUUUAGUAAAGCAAAAGCCAUAAAUCACGUAACCGUUCAGUAUUCCCUCUCCUCAUAAUAUCUCCUUGCAAUUUUCUCUCCCCAUUUUCAUCCACGAUUCAUGGAAGUUUGAGAUUGAAUCCAUUAAGCGGCAGAUUCUCCACAUCACGAUUGGAACAUGAUUUCAGUUUCCUUCUUCAUUAAAAUCUUUUUAAUUUCAAAAGCUCCUCUCUCUACACCACUGUUUGAAGAUGCAAUUUUCAUUCAAUUUUUUAUCCUUCACUCAACUUCAACCACAUAUUCAUCUUCAUCAACCCACAAAUUACCCAUUGCUAAGGGUAUCUCCCCUUUUCAGUUUAGGCAUGGAGAUUUACUAGUGAGAAACCGUGAAGAUUUGGAUUGUAUAAUCAAGAAGAUAAGGGAGAAGAAGAGAUUGCCAAGAUCAGUCGAAAAGUUGCUGAAGAAGACAUGGAUAUUCAAGAUCACAUGUUCACGCCAUAGCAAUAUACUACUUUCAUUUAGAUUCCAUACAACUGUAUCAUAAGUGUAUUACUUAUGUGUUCAAAUCAAACGCUUACUGGCGUAACAAUAGUGGUAAAAAAUCUCACAUGUAUCACUUGUAUGUAAUAUGUAUAUAAUGUGUAUAAUAUAAAGGUGAUCGAGGUAAAUAUUCUAUCAAAGUUGUAUUAUAAUUGUAUGUUGAGUUGUAUGAAAUUUGUAUUUUAAGUUUA